GCUUUCGUGGUGUAGUUGGCUAUCACAUCUGCCUUACAAGCAGAAGGUCUUCGGUUCAAUCCCGAACGAAAGCA
rnacentral:tRNA from 1 species